GUGAUACUGUGAUUUACGCAUGGAGUCUGUGAUGUGUGAGCAGCUUCCAUAGCCCGGUCACAGUUACAGAC
rnacentral:snoRNA from 1 species